rnacentral:lncRNA from 1 species
UUUUAACCUUUUACUCAAGCUUUUAAAAGAAAACAUUUUUUAAUAACCAAAUCAUAAUUUUGGAAUUAGAUACUAUUUGUUAUCUCCUAAAUUUUUUCUAAUCACAAAAUAGAAAAGCACAUUGAAUUUUUGGGUUGCGGGGACACAAGAUGUUUUGGUCCACAAGCAAACACCUUAAAAUUAAUUAACAACAUCUACAAAACAUUAAUAUUUAUUUGAGGGCCAAUUCAUUAAUUAAUUACCUAACUAAUUUAAACAAAAAUUAGGUAGGUAGUUGAGGCAACCCUUAAUCACGCUUAUUUCUUAAAGAGCAAGGCCCAUGAUGUUAACUAUAUAACAUCGCUUUUCUAAUUUUGUGAAAUAGAUGAAAAUAAAAUUUAAACUAAAAUGAUUAAAUCCUUUCGACCGUGUGUUUUCAUUGACUUUUAAAAAGAACACAAAAGUGUUUUCAUUGUUGACUUGGAACGGAGACUCAAGGUUAGAUGCAUCAUGCAUGCAUGCAUGAAACAAACCGCAAAAGAAGCUUCGUGGGAAAAAAAAAAUGGAAUUAUAUUAUCAUGUUAUAAUAAUAUAAUAUAUCUUGUGCCUAUAUUAAAUGCCAUAUGUAGGUAGGUGCUGAUCUUCUAGAACCUAAUUAAAAAAUAAAAUAUUCUCAUAAUUCGCGCUUUCUUACUUUAAUAUUAUAUAAUUUAAAAUAUAUCAUUUUAGUGCAUGUAUUUUUAUUUUUUUCUUUUUAUUAUCUCUUUUAGUAAUUUGUUUGUUAUAUCAGUGAUAAAGUUGCAAUCAUAGAGUACUAAAGUAAAAAAAAUUCGGUAAACUACAGGGUAUUAAAGUGAAUAUUUAAUGAACUAUAGAUAUGGUAUCUGAAGUUUUUUAUAUAUGAUUUAAUUAAAAUAUUAACAAAAAAAUUGAUAUAAUACUAAAAUAAUAUACUUUAAAUUAUAAAGUACUAAAGUGAAAAAAUAUAGUUUACCCUAAAUUUUAUAAUACUUGACAAACUAAAAUACAUGGCGGUAUUUAAUAGGUAAGUAUUACUUAUAAUUUUUAAGGUUGAAAUUCACUAUUGAGUUAUAUAGUUUGUAAAAAAUUGUAUAAGAUUUGUCCGUAAGUAAAAAAAAAAAAAUUUCGAAAAUGAUGGACAAGUGUUUUCAAUAUAUAUUGUUUCUAUUUAGCUGAUUUAUUCUAGAAUAUCAUAGAAACUACUGUUCUACAUCUCAUUUGCUUUACCCCAUUUUUCUUUGUAAUCCUUGCAAUUAUCCAUCUACAUAUGUAUAGAACUUGGUUUCAUUUUGUAUUUAUAAAUUUAAUCUUACUAAUAUAUUUAGCAAACUCAAACGCCGGAACAACUUUACAAUUAUGAAAAAAAGAACGAAGCACGUAAUUUAUUAUCUUUCUCUCUCAAAACAAAAGAAAAUAAAUGAUUAGUUCCUGAAAAUGAUUGUAAUGUUGACAAAGCUAAUAGAUUAGGAAAAAUGCUUUAGACCUUGGGAAUGUCAGCAUUUUAGUUAUUAUAAUAUCAUAUAUCAUAUAUAUCAACAUAUUAAUAAUAUAUAUAUAUAAUAUAUAUAUAUAAUAUAUAAUAUAUAUUAUAUAUAUAUAUAUAAUAGCAAAAUAAAUGGCUGGAAAAUGAAUACUCUUUAAAAAUGAUAUAGGAUCUUGUAAUCAAGAUCAAGAGUAUAGAUCUUGUUUUUAAUAGUUUAAAGAAUUUCUAAACAAAAUCAAUUGAUUUGAAUAUCUUUAUCGCCGUUAAACGAGAAAAUGCUCUUAUCGACCAUUAAAAUUAACAAUUUUGAAACCCUUAUCAUUAGGCAAAUGAUGUCGAAAAGAUUUUGAAAUUUGAUUUUCUAAACACUUCAAGUGGUAUAGAUUCAAUGUUCAACGGAGCGAUCGUCAAUUUGGAAGUUCUAUCAUCGAAAACAAAUCGGUUAUAAACGGCUCGUUUACUACUGAUAGUAUUCUAGCCUCGACUCAUAUAUAUAUAUAUAUAUAUAUUAUAUAUAUAUAUAUAUAUAUAUAUAUAUAUAUAUAGCAGGGCUGCUGUGCUCUUGCCCCCUGAGCCGUUUUUGAUGAUGAAAUUUUUGAAUCGACGAUCGGCUCCAUUAAACUUGACUAGCGCAUUUGAAGUUUCUAGAAAUAAUUUUGAUUUUUUUGAUAUCAUUUACCUAGUGAUCGAAAGGAUUCAAAUUCAUAAUUUUUAAUGAUUGAUAUCUGCCGUUUUCAAGUUUUAAUGGUGUUAGAAAUAUACCAAAUCAUGAUGAAAUUUUGAUACAAAAUUUUCUAUACAUAUCUACAACAAUUAAUAUUUCUGAUCGAAAAUUUUAGUGCUAUAUCACCACUUUUAUUGGAUUUUUACCUUUCAGCCGUUAAAAAUUAUUGAUUUUGAAUCAUUUCGAGUGCUAGUAAAUGAUAAUAGAAAAUCGCAUAAAUUAUUUUCUAGAACUUCAAAUAUACUAGAUCAAGUUUAACGAAGCCGAUCUGUCGAUUCGAAAAUUUCUAUCGAAAAUGGCUCAGGAGCACGAAAGGCCUCCGUGCUCCUGAGAGACAGCAGCCUGCUAUAUAUAUAAUAUUAUAGUAUACUAUACUAUUAUUAUAUAUAGUCGUAAUUAUAUCAUAUUAUAUCCGGUGUAUAUAUUAUAUAUAAUAUGAGUUGAGUUGAAAUACUAUUAAUAAUAUUUUGACUAUUUUACUAUCGAUGUUUUAACCGUUAAAUCUACACUCAAUCUUAAGAGGACCACAACAAAAUUCUAAGCCACCGUUUGGUUCGAAGUUAAGUAAAAACUUGUUAGUCCAGAGAUAGAGUUAAGAUCAGGGUUAAUGUGGGGUUAAAGUAAUUUUGCGUUUAGUUGAGAAUUGGGUUUAGUCCAGAUAUAAAUAAAAUAGUAUUUGGCUGGAGUAGAUGGGAUAAAAAUGAUAGUUGGUAAAAUAGUGUUUUGUUUGGUUGGAGUAGUGGGGUGGGGUAGGGUUAGCUAACCCCACCCCAAAUAGGCUAUUCCAGAAUAGCUUAUUUGGGGUGGGAUUAGCUAACCCCAACCCCAAAUUGGGUGUUUGGGAAUAACUUCAGGAUUAAGGGAUUAUUCCACCCCUUAACCCCGAACCAAACUGGUGCUUACUAUUAUUCAAAUCCUAUAAUUUUUCAUCCAAGAUUAAAAAACUCGAUAGCAAAAAAACCCAAAUACUAUUAAUAGUAUUUCAGCCCAAUUGUAUAUAUAUAUAUAUAAUUGAGUUAGAAUAUUUUUAGAAGCACCAACCUCUUGGUGCUUCUAAGUUUUUAGCCCUUGGAUCUACUCCUUAAUUACUAAUACCUUUUGAAUCAAACACCAUUCUCUCUUGAUGCUUUUGAGAGUAUUUUAGCUCAACUCUAUAUAUAUAAACAAAUAAUAUAUUAGUCAAACUGUAACACAUAUAUUUAAAACAAAUAAUAAUAAUAAUAAUAAUAAUAAUAAUAAUAAUAGCGAAAUAUGAGAUCAUGUCCUACGACUUAAUUCGCUUUAGGAAACGAACACGUCAAGAUAAGAAUGGGCGCUGCAGUCCAUGGAAGUAGGUGAAUAAAUAUGUUAUCUUAUUACGGAGCGCUUCUGGAAAGAAGCCAUUUGGGAAGCUUUUGCACCAGAAGAUCAUUUCCCGGCUCAAUUUGUGGCCCCAUUUUCGCAUGAUACGUUCGAAGUUUAAAUUAAAAAAUAUAUACGAAAACCUGCUGCGUUGACCACCAUAUGUUCAUACGUAGUCGAUUGAGAAGUUUUCUUUUGUCGGAUUCCAUUUUUUUUUUUCUUUUGUCGGAUUCUAUUUUUUUAGAAAAAAAAAUAGCAAACUAUUUAUUCCAUUUUUUUAAAAAAAAUGAAUUUGGUUGUAAAUAUGAAACAUUUGAAUUUGGAAUCUUGACUACCGGCUAUCAUAUCCUUUGUCACUUGCGUCAGAAAUAGUCGACUGUGUUUUUGUCAAAAGUUCUUUAAUUGGGAUUGAGCCUCUAUUCAAUACAUAUUAAAGAUAUUAUUCUAUAGAUGAGUUGACUUAGAAUAAUUCUAAAAAAUAUUACCAUUUAUAUAUUAAAAAGUUUUUCAUCUUUGGAUCUACUGUUAUUUUACCUACUCCCACUAAACCCUAGACAUCCAAAGAUUAUAGAGGUCGGAAGCAAGUGAAUGGUGAAAUUUUUAGAAUUAUUCUAGCUCCAAGAGAGUCUUCUCUAAGUUUUUUAAUAAGAAUUGUUUCAUAUAUAUUAUUAUUAAUAUAUUUUGGAAUUUCUAAAAAUUCUUGGUCCAAAGUAAGAGUAAGUGUUGAAUAAAAUUGUUGAAUAAAAAUAUUAAAAAUAUCAUUAAGGCUCCACCAUUAUUUGCAAUUGAUCAAGGAGUAAUUUUUAGUAUAUAUCCUGACCUCCAAUCCAACCAGUUAUUGACACGAGGACAUAGCAUGAUCUCAUAUCAAAUUUAAAAAUGAAUCUGCUUCAUGUAUACAACAAUUGUAAUUUGCUUUUGUCUCCUCAAAAGAUAAUGUUUUCACAAAUAUCAUUUUAUAGUUUAAAAAAAUAAAUCAAUCACUAACAAUCAUAUGCUUUUUUAUAUAUUAUUAACUUAUCUGUAAUAUUCUAAAUCGCUUUGGAGUUAUAUGUGACUCAAUAGUCAUAUAGCAUUAGUCGUACAUAAGAAGGUGUUGAGCUGCAAAGAACGUGUGGACUAGAUAACAGUACAUUACUCAAAAUAGAUUUAAGUUAUUUUUUUGUUUGCUGCAAUUAAUGAGAGCUUAAGCCCAUUUAGCCCAUAAUUGCCCCAGACUAAACUCGGCUUAGGGCCGAUAUUCUCCGCCCAUCGAUGUACUAAUGCGAGCUUUCGCGAAAUUGGAUCACAUACUUUUGCCUCAGACUGAGUCGUAUGCAACUUUGUCCUUAGGAGGUCGUCUUGUUAUAAGAAGAGUCUGAUUCAAAUGGAAAGCGCACUAACAUAAUAAAGAUCGAAGGCUCAAUCUCAGCAGCUAAUCACUUAUUUCUCUUAUUAAAACAUUAAAAAAAUCUUGUUCUGAUCACCAUCGUCAUAACUAGAAGAAAAUUCUUGAAUAUCUUUUCUCCUUUUCUCUUGAGAAGAGAGAUGAUUACAAGCCCUAACCAUUUACUCUUAUUUAAAGAUUCAAGUCCCUAAAAAUAGACUAUGAACCUAUCAUCUUAAUAAAUUUUCUUCUAUAACCUCAUAUAUAUAUAUAUAUGAUCUCUUAAUUAGUACAAAACGAUCACUCAUCGUCUCUUAGAUUGAAAGAAAUACAGAGAUAAGCGCAUAUCAGAGAUCUGGUUAAGCUAUAAAAUCGUGUUUCUUCGAAGAAAUAAUUUUCUGAAAUUAGAGAGAAAAUUAAGUGACACCUUUGUAUCAGCUAUUAUAUAACAGAGUUUACACUGAAAAAAUAUCUCAUCAAAUUUUAAAAUUUUGGUUUACCUUUGAUUUACUUUUUGGGGUAGUUCCAACAUAAUGAGUCAUGAUAUAUAUAAAGAAUAGGACUGCUGUGCUCUUAGGAGCAUGGAGGCCUCCGUGCUCCUGAGCCUUUUUCGAUGGUAGAAUUUCCGAAUCGACGAUCGGCUCCGUUAGAGUUGAUCUAGCGUAUUUGAAGUUUCUAAAAAAUAAUUUUUACGAUUUUUCGAUAUCAUUUACCUAGCAAUCGAAAGGAUUCAAAAUCAAUAAUUUUUAACGGCUGAAAAUAAAAAUUCUAUAAAAAGUGGUGAUAUAGUACUAAAAUUUUCGAUCAGAAAUAUUGAUCUUGUUAUAGAUAGUAUAAAGAAUUUUGCAUCAAAAUUUCAUCUGAUUUGAAUACUUCUACACCGUUAAACUUGAAAACGGCAGAUAUCAACCAUUAAAAAUUAUUGAUUUUUAAUCAUUUCGAUCACUAGGCAAAUGAUAUCAAAAAAUCGCAAAAAUUAUUUUCUAGAAACUUCAAAUACUCUAAAUCAAGUCUAACGGAGCCGAUCGUCAAUUCGAAAAUUCUAUCAUUGAGCAGCCCUGCUCUAUAUAUAUAUAUAUAUAUAUAUAUAUAUAUAUAUAUAGAGUUGAGGUAGAAUACUCUCAAAAGCAUCAACCCCUUGGUGUUUUUGAGUUUUUAGCCAUUGGAUUGAGAGAUGUAAGGUUGAGAUGAUGGUGGUAGGUAGAAUAGUGUUUGAUCCAAAGAUUAUUAGUAAUCAAGGAGGGAGAGAAACAAUGCAUCUGUGCACUCGGUGCAUCUUGACGUUCGUACACCAUAUAUUUAUAAAUAUUUUCGAUAUCUGCCACCGUUUGUUCGGGAUUAAGUAAAAACUUGUUAUUCCAGGGAUAGAGUUAAGUUCAGGGUUAAGGUGAGAUUAGAGUAAUUUUGUGUUUGGUUGAGAAUUGGGUUUAGUCCAGACAUAAAUAAAUAGUGUUUGGUUGAAGUAAGUGGGAUAAGAAGGAUAGUGGGUAAAAUAGUAUUUUGUUUGGUUGGAGUUGUGGGAUGGGGUGGGGUGGGUUAACC